rnacentral:lncRNA from 1 species
UUUUUUUUUUCUUUUUUUUUUUUGGAGGGAACAUUACCUCAAAGGUGUCAGAGUCAAAUGGGCCCUAAGUUGAAAUUCUGUCUUUCCUCAAAGUGAUGAAUUUUGUUUUCACAGAAAAACCUCUUCAGGCAAUGGUGCCGAGGACAGUAGGUAUGACUCAGCUAUGGGACAUCUAUGUGACCCCUGUGGCCAUUAAAUCAGUGGGAGGGGGGUUGCUAAGUCCAAAAUAUUAGGGAUUUAUGGGGCUUUUUAUUUUUUUUUUGCAUGUGAUAAACAGAGCUCUUGAGACUGGAUGCUUCACAAAUUCUCCAAUUAAACACCUUCACUGGGAAAUGGAAUCAGGGCAUGAAUGUGGGGGAAAUUUUUGACUAACACACUCUUCCUACAAUAUGUGAUCAAGGGCACACAGUUCCUGGGUCCUUCCUCAGUGGGUUAUUUCCCCUCCAUGCAUCUGCUCACGAAAUAUCUGUCUACAAGUAACUGGGUGUGAACACAGACCCAUGCCUGAGGCUUGAUGUUCUAGCUUCAGGGGGUAGGGGAUCCUACUUGUUAUUAAACCCAAUCUCAUCAUUCUUAAUGACCAUUUCUCUGGGUCUUUAGACAAAGCAAUAUGACAAGAAAAAGUGGCAGAUCAAAGGAAUACAGUGUUGCCAAAUUUCAGCAGGAGACUGAGGGACCAUAUCUCUUCAGUCUUAGGAAGGCCACCAAGGGAGACAAUGCAGAAGCAGACAGGGAGAUGAAACACUAUUACAUAAUUAGCUCAUAUUGGAACAAGAAACUAGACAAAAGAGCCAGGUAGGGGCUGCUUUGAAGGAUAAUCCACUGAUCCAAUCAGUACUACCCAUUUGUAGCCAUUCAUUGGUAUAUGUGCAACCUAUCUCUGGUCACAACUUCACAGGAAAGCGACUCUCCUUCCCAACCAGGCAUUAGUUGCCAAUAGCUCCUCAGAGAGGGAUAGCCCUCCUUCUCCUAUGUUGGAAUUUUUACUUGGCUUGAUUUUGUACAGGUCUGUUUGUGAGCUCAGUAGCCAUGUCAUAUCAAGAGGAGAGUAUUUCCUACCCUUUGACUCUCAUAGGUUUUUCACAGCAGACACUUGGGGGUGGGGUUGAUAUAAUAUCCCAUCUACUGCUGAGCACUCCCAGUCACUUACUCUCAGCAGCCUGAACUGCAAUGAGUCUCUGCAUCCAUUAGUACUCACUGCAAUGAGAAGCUUCUCUGAUCAAGGCUGAGAGCAGCACAGAUCUAGGGAUAGAAACACAAACACAUAGAAGGCUGUUUGACAACAUGACUAUUCAGAAAAGCAGCAUCACCUUGCCCUAUGGCUUUCCUAGCUGAGGAUUUGACCAUGUUCACAGUACCUGGCAAUUCCUAAUGUGUCCAUGUCUGUCUGUCUGUCUACCUAUCUAUCUAUCUAUCUAUCUAUCUAUCUAUUUAUCAUCUAUUAAUCUAAUUUAUAAUUUAUCUAUCUAUGUAUCCAUCUAUUAAUCUAAUCUAUCUAUCAUCCUAUCUAAUCUAUAAUCUAUAUCUAUUAAUGUAAUCUAUCAUCUAUCUAAUCUAUAAUCUAUCUAUAGUAAUAAAUUAAUUUAAUCUAUCAUCUAUCGUGUCUGUCCUCUCUCUCUACUAGUCAUCUAUCUAUCUAUCUAUCUAUCUAUCUAUCUAUCUAUCUAUCUAUCUAUCAUCUAUAUCUCUACCUAUUACCAGGCCUAAUCUGACCUCUAGUGGCCAACUGAAAUAAAAUCUGUUGUCAUUGAAAGUCUAGAGUUUUUUGACCUUCAUUCUAAGCUGGAUUUCUCAUCUUAUCCCAAGUUGAUAUUUGGGGCUAGAUUACUCAAUGGUGAGAGGAACAUUUUGUGUAUGGUAGCAUGCUGAACUCUGCUCACUCCAUAGCAGGGACAUCACAGCCUUCCAAAGAAGUGAUGGAGGCAUACUCUUGUUAACACUACUGGUUUAAUAUGAAAUUGUUCGAUAAUGAAGUCAUGUUUAUGAAGGGAGUUCAGAGAGUUUCAUUGAUACUCUUCCUCAGGAGUCAUUCAUUAACACAGUAGUUUUUAAAUUUAAUAUCGUGUUUAGGGAUUUACUUAUUUUUAUUUUAAAGUGUUUGGAUUCUGUGCUCAUAUGUAUGUCUAUGUACCAUGUACAUGUCUGGUGCCAGCAGAUGCCAGGAGAAAGCACUAGAUUCUCUGGGACUGGAGUUAUGAAGAGUUGUGAUGCCAUGUAGUUGCUGGAAACUAAACUAUCUCUACAAGAGCAGACAGUGCUUCUAACCACCGAGCCAUCUCUCCUUAUAUUAGUUUGAUAGAACCUCUUUGAGAUGCAGUCAUACCUUAGAGAUCUUAUGGCUAAAGCAGUCAAGCCAAUGUAGUAUGUAAGUAAGUCACACAAAAUAUUGGUUUGGUUAUGCUGGGGCUGGAGAGAUGUCUCAGUGACUAAAAGAACUUACUGCCUGUGUAGAGGAUUGGGGUUCAGUUCUCAGUACUCAUAUUGGUUCACGACCACCCAUAAAUUAAGAUUCAAGGAAUCUGCUGCCUUCUUUUGAGCUCUGUGGGCACUGCACACAUAUGUAGGCCCUGAAGUCAAAAUAAAAUAAAUUUUUAAAAAGUUAUAUUCACAUUGUACUGCAGUUAGUGUGUAAUUACAGAUAUCUUUUAAAUAAAUCUUAAUCUAUUAUAUUUAUUUAAAAUACUUUACUGAGCUGAGAGUUUUAGUGCAUUGGUACUUGGGUAGCAUGUGACAGGCUUUGAGCGCCGUAUCAAUGAAGUAAAAUAAAAAGUAAAAACUGAGUUCAAUAUCUGAUGUUGCAAUUAAGUAAGUAAUAGAUUCAGGGCCCUCCCUGCCCCGUAGACAUGAGGUGAAAUGAGAGCAGAAGAGUGGCUGAGCCCACAGCUCUGCAGAAACAAAACAAAACAAUGAGUGCAACAGAGUAAGCGUUCGGAAUCUAGUACUGCAAAAUUAAAAUACUUUAAAAUAAGAUAGAACAAAGACUCACUGUCCAACACUGCAAAAGUCAAGUUUAGUUCUCAACACUACACAAAUAAAAUAAAAACUUUUCCUUUUUGCUAGAAAAUGCCAACAUGCAGCUUGUAGGCUUGCACAAAGCAAAGUUACUGCGGAUCUUCAAUUUUAAAAAUGUAAGGGAUCAGAGAUAGUUUAAGAGUACUAGCUGCAAGUGAAAAAUACAUAUAAAUAAUAAUCAUAACAAUAAACAUUCAAAAUAAAAUAAAAACUUCAAUAAAACAAAGCACAGUCUCUGCCUGUGGCAUGUUUGAUGAGUCCACAUAGUCUUUAGAUGCUCAGAUAUGAAUUCUUCAGUGUUAGUUGUGAGGUUUGAGUAUCCCUGUUAUUUUUGUCAGAUCGUUUUUGACUAUACAGAAAUUAUCUCAAUCCCACUAAAAUGGAUCCAACUGAGACUUACUAAGCUGUUUUCUUUUUCAGUUAAGAAGGCCAUUGUACAAAAAUGAGGGCUAAAAGGAUAAUAGCCACAGGCUUUAAUUUGUGGCGUUAUAUCCAAGUAUCUUAAAUAAGAGGCUGAGGUAGAAGGAUUGCUGGGAGUUCAAGGCCAGCACAUUGUGAAUUGCUGCAAAACCUGGGCUACAGAGUGAGACUGUUUCCAAACAGCAAACAGAGAAAAAGAAGCAACCAAAACCAAAUGUCUGAAUGACUCUAGAUCCAUAGUUUUAAUCUCUCAGGAACAAUGUAAGGUUUGCAACCAGGAAGGAGACUGGGAAGUCAUGAGAAAGUAUGAUGAGGACAGGAAGUGAUUUUUCUGGAGAAUUACAGAACCCAGCAGGCAAACAGAGCUUCCUGAAGCACUGUAAAGAGCUACAAGGUGUGCAGUCUAGGGAUACUAUGUUUUUGUUUAUAUAUUUGCAUUUAUUCUUUGAGAAUUUCAUUCUUUUGCAUGAUGUACUUUGAUUAUAUCACCUCCUACAACCCUUCAACACCUCCAGACUCAUCCCACCACAUCUGCUCCCCAAAUCUCUUCUUUUGUUAACCCAUUUACAUAAUCUACUGAGUUGUCC